CCAGGAAGUGGCCAGCAGACAGACCGAUUGUAUGCUCGUGAGCCGACUACCAGCGCCAGAGUUUUUCUCAUUAAGCUGCGUGUGACUGUAGAAGCGUUGGCCAGGCUUCUUUUUUUUUGAUGGCGAGCUAAAGAACGAAGACUCUAGUCCAAGGACUGUUCUUGGAAGAUUCCAGCCAAGAACCCACCACCUGUUCUGUCUGGGCGGGUAGGAGGCUCUCGAGCCGACCCUUUACAUUUUUUUCCCCCAUCUUUAACCUGCAGUACAUGGACUGUACUGCCAUCCUUUUUUUUCCCCAAGAACUCUUAAGUCUGAACUGAGAUUUAUUCAGAUCCAGAGACAUUAAUUACUGAAAUUAAAAUUGUGUAUAUGUAUAUAGUCACUGUUGUUUUCCAGAUUACUUUCCUGUUGAAUGGCAAUUCAACUUAUUGUGUGUAUAUAUCUGCUGUCCCUCACAAAUAGUUUAAUACACGGUGUCAACCAAGCUGCAAUUUGAGCUUUGCCUUCUCUCUCCAAGUCAAAACCCUAGUCUUUUGGUUCUUAGCCCAUAAAACCCCAUAUUUAUUGCAUUGAUUUGUAGCACGGAUAGGUUACAUGUGUGUGUCAAUUAAAACCACGCCCAGCAACUGGCGUGCAGUGCACAACGUGCUCAACACGUCAGACUGUUGUUACACAUCAGGCAAUGGAACGUGAUGGCGGCGGCAGUUUCAACACAGGGGCUCGGUGGUCGCAAACGUAGAGACGACAUAUGGGUGUAUUUUAAAUAUAACCCAGCAGAUAAUAAAACAGAGUGUAUUGUGAAGGAAGACAAUGACAAAUGUGGCCACAAAAUAUGCGGAAAAAAUACGGCCAACCUUAAGCGGCACCUUAAGGCCCACCACAAGGAUAUUUUUUCGAAGGUAAGUUAAAAAUGCUGUUAACAUAAUCGAUAAAUGUCAUAGUAAGCUAAUACAUUAGUACGUUUUCCACAUACUCCUGGCGCAAAUGGGCUGCUAACUUCAGGCUAAAGUUAGCUUUUGUUACGCUAACGUCAAUUCAUUAUGUGUGUGUUACUUUAGCAGCAUGUUUAGCCAUGUUUACAUUCAGUGACGGUGUGGUUAUCUCUUUGUGAGUACCUUCUGUCAGCACGUAACUUGAUAUGUUAAACCGGUCGAGUUACUGUUAUACGUAGAGUCUGCUAGCUUUAGCCUAAAAGCCACAAGUGACGUUGUGCAGCCCCAUUAAGGAAUUAGGAAUGAAUUGAUUAUUUUAUUACAUGGUUUGCACAAAUGAAAGAGAUGUAUGAUAUCUGUUGUAAUUGCACUGGCAGACAGGGCCAAGUUGAGCUUAUGUGUUCCUCAUCCAUCACUCAUAUUUUGGGCAUGUUUAUGUUCAUUGUACUUUAACAAAUUCUGAGAAAUAAAGCCACAAUUGCUGAAGUAGAAGGUUUUUGUUUUUUUGGAGUAAUGAACUUUGAUUCCACUGUUACCACUUUAUCUGUGUGUAAUACACAAUCCUUGGAUCAGAAAUUUGCUGUUGGGUGGAAACCUUAUAUGUCUAAAACCAUUCCUUUAUUGUUAUUAUUUGUGAAAAUAGCAGAUCUGCAAGCUUACAAUGGGUUGAACUUAUAGAUCUGCUGCUAUUUUCACAACUUAUGUGUGACACUGCCCAACAGCAAUCUCCAAUACUUAUUGACCUAAAUUAAUUUGUUAAAAGACUAUACUUAUAUACUUAUACUUUUUAUUCUUU